AGGGUUCGAUUCUGGCUCAGGAUGAACGCUGGCGGCGUGCUUAACACAUGCAAGUCGAGCGAAGCGGUUUAAGUGAAGUUUUCGGAUGGAUCUUGGAUUGACUGAGCGGCGGACGGGUGAGUAACGCGUGGAUAACCUGCCUCACACAGGGGGAUAACAGUUAGAAAUGACUGCUAAUACCGCAUAAGCGCACGGCAUCGCAUGAUGCAGUGUGAAAAACUCCGGUGGUGUGAGAUGGAUCCGCGUCUGAUUAGGUAGUUGGUGGGGUAACGGCCCACCAAGCCGACGAUCAGUAGCCGACCUGAGAGGGUGACCGGCCACAUUGGGACUGAGACACGGCCCAA
rnacentral:rRNA from 1 species